rnacentral:misc_RNA from 1 species
UUAGUAUGAAGAGAUUGCUCAAAACAGUCACAUCGUGAUUCGAUCGGUUCAAAUAAAUUUAAUACUCGCGAUUCAAAAUAGUACUAGUUUGCAUACUGUUGUUACAAAGUGUAAUUUGUUAACAAUUUUCAUAAAUAUAGAUGCUUUAAACAGAACUUAGUAUGGCAUUAAGGAAAAUUUCAUUAAAUAUCAGACUAAUAUUUAUUGUGAUAACAUUUUUCUCUAUUUCUCAAUUUAUACAAACUGACACUGAAGUUAAUCAUCAUUUGUUGAAUUAUAUUGGUUUAGUACCAUUGCAUUAUGAUCUUAAAAUAAAACUCGACUUCUCCAGAAAUAUCCUCUACGGCAAAUGCAAUAUUACAAUAAAUAUUACACGUCAAAUGACAAAUAUAAGUAUACCUUCAAUAAAUUUCGGUAUACUUAAAAUUUACUUGACUAUCAAUGAUGAUAAUAGAAUGAUACACGUGCGAAAAUAUUCAUUUAUCAAUGAAACACACAUUUAUAUUGACUUCUCGAAGACGUCAGUAAAUGUUUUAUUUCCUGGAACGUAUAUCUUACAAAUGAUAUAUGUCCGCAACAUAUUUGAUGAAAUUUUGCUCGGAUCUUUAUAUAGAGAAACUAGAGGGUUAAAAACAUUAACAGAAACUGGUGUUGAGGUAAUAAAAGCCCAACAAAUAUUUCCAUGUUGGGAUGAACUAGCGUUCAAGAGCACUUUUACCGUUUCUAUUAUGCUUCAUAAAAAUUUUACAGCCCUAUCGAAUAUGUUGAUAAAUACAGAAGAAUAUAUAGAUAAAAGCAACAUGAUAUGGGUACACUUUUACAAGUCGCCUUUCAUGUCCAUUCAACGUUUAACAAUUGUGAUAACCACAUUUACUAAUAUUUUUCUCCAACCGCAAACUUUGCCUGCUCGUGUCACAAUUUGGUGUAGAAAAAACAUAGCACACAGUAUGGUAUUUGCACAACUCAUCAUUGAAGAGGUAUUCCAUUUUUUGAAUAAAAGAAAUCAGACGAAAAUACCAAAAAUAGAUUACAUUGCAAUUUGGGAUACACAUCAUAGGAACAUUGAGACAUGGGAACUCAUUUUACACAGAGAAGAAGAUAUUACUUACAAUGAAGCAUUAGAUUCCAUUGCACGCAAAAUAGAAGUGGCUAACUUACUAGCACGUCAAGUAAUAUCUAUUUGGUACGAUUAUUUGUCAUGGCCAAUAGAAGGUUUUACAACAUACUUUGCAGCGCAUAUCUUGGGAAAGAUUCCGUCGAUAUCCUACAUACAUGACUUAUUUAUUGUCCAAGUACUACAAGAUUCUCUUCGCUUUGACAUUCCUUCUUAUAAUUAUAAUUCUAUACAACACAGUAAUGACUUAGAUGUUCAAAUAAAUAAAACUUUCCUUAAUUAUAUCAAACCACCCGUUUUAUGGUAUAUAUUACAACAUAUCCUAGAAGAAAACAUGUGGAAUAGUAUCCGCACAUAUACUGAUAACCGCGCAUACACUAGAUAUAAUCAGUCAAGUUCGAUAAACACCAAUGAUUUAUGGCACAUUAUACAAACUUUCGAUAUUUCUCCUUAUUUUUCUUUAUUAAGUUUAAAAGAAUAUAUUGACAUUUGGAUAAAGAAAAAUUAUUAUCCUGUACUGCACGUGACAUUAAACGCAACAAAUGACAGGAUAUCAUUCUCAUAUCUCAGUUCUUCGUAUAUCAACGAAAACAUGGAACAACUUCCCGCAUUAGUAACAUAUACGAUUAUACAAAAAGAAGCUAACAAUACUUUAGACGUAUUUGUUUUGCUAUCAUCGCAACACACAAUACUUACAAAUAUUAAAAAUGUAUUUGAGGUGGUUGAUGAAAAUUAUUGCGUCAUAGUCAAUGUUAACCAAACAGGAUACUAUCGUGUUAAUUAUAAUUCUGAGGGCUGGCUUAGACUUGCGCAGUGCUUGAAAAAAAAUUAUACAGUAUAUGUUCUCAAUCAAGCCCAAGUCAUAGAUGAUGCGUUUCACUUUCUCAUACAUCGCCGACUCAGUUUAACGAUGUUUUGGAAUAUCGUAAGCUUUCUAUCAAAAAAUACGAAUUAUGUAGCAUGGUAUCCUAUGAUUAAAGCUUUUGAAUACAUGGCUUGUGCCUAUUCAUUAAAUGGUGACAUAAUGGAAAAAAUGGAAAAAAUGUUGAAUGGAGUUUUGAAAAUAAUAGGAUACGAUGAAAACCCGAACGAAAGCGACCUUACUAAAUGUUUAAGAGAGGAAGCCGCAAAAUGGGCAUGUAUUAUCAACGCUGCUGAAUGCAGGAAAACAGCCACUUUACAACUCAUAAAAGAUCUUGAAAAUCCUGUACAAGACAAUCAGUUUAUAUGGAAAGAAUGGAAAUAUUGUAAAGGUUUAAUGUCAGCAAACUACACCAUUUGGAACCAUACAUGGGAAAAAUGGACGACAUCAUCUGAUAACAUAAUUUUAGAUUACUUAACUUGUUGUAAAGAUCCUUUAAUUAUUACCUCUUAUUUGAAUCAAACAUUAAGACUAACUGAAGAGUAUAAAUAUCUUAUCGCAGUACAAAACAAUAAUGUUUAUCAAGUUAAUAUAGUUAAUAUAGUUCUUCUUAGUGUCGCAAAGCAUGAAAGUUGAUAAAAUUGCAAUAUUAAUUGUUAGUAUUACGCAUGUGCAAUCCAUACACCAACUUCAAAGGAUAAAUAUCUUUGCGACAAC